rnacentral:rRNA from 1 species
AGUAACGCGUGGAUAACCUGCCUUACACUGGGGAUAACACUUAGAAAUAGGUGCUAAUACCGCAUAAGCGCACAGAGCCGCAUGGCUCAGUGUGAAAAACUUCGGUGGUGUAAGAUGGAUCCGCGUCUGAUUAGCUGGUUGGCGGGGUAGAAGCCCACCAAGGCGACGAUCAGUAGCCGGCCUGAGAGGGUGAACGGCCACAUUGGGACUGAGACACGGCCCAAACUCCUACGGGAGGCAGCAG